GGAGAUCUCUGCCCCUAGGAGCUGAGGGACCCCCAGCAUUGCUGCAAGCUGAAGCUGCAGGAUCCUGCUACAACCAGCCAGAUGUCUUCCCACAAAGGAUCCGUGACGGUGCAGGGCAACGGGGCGCCUGCCGUUAACAGGGAAGCCGAUUCAGUGGAACUGACCAAACUGGGACCCCUGCUGGAGAAGGGCAAGUGGGCGAUCACCAGUCCCACAAAAGCUGAAGAGGAGCAAACAUGCCCUAUGCCCCAGGAAGAGGAAGAGGAGGUGCGGCUGCUCACGCUCCCCCUGCAGGCCCACCACGCCAUGGAGAAGAUGGAAGUGUUUGUGCACAAGGUCUGGGAGGGACGUUGGAGGGUCAUCCCCUAGGAUGUGCUGCCUGACUGGCUCAAGGACAAUGACUACUUGCUUUACGGCCACAGACCACUCAUGCCCUUUCGGGCCUCCUUCAAGAGCAUCUUCCGCAUCCAUAUGGAAACUGGCAAUAUCUGGACCCAUCUGCUUGGUUUUGUGCUGUUUCUCUUUUUGAGAAUCUUGACCAUGCUCAGACCAAAUAUGUACUUCACGGCCCCUCUCCAGGAGAAGGUGUUGUUUGGAAUGUUCUUUUUGGGUGCAGUGCUGUGCCUCAGUUUCUCCUGACUCUUCCACACCGUCUACUGUCAUUCAGAGAAAGUCUCUCGGACUUUUUCAAAACUGGACUAUUCAGGGAUUCCUCUACUGAUUAUGGGGAGCUUUGUCCCCUGGCUCUAUUACUCCUUCUACUGCUCCCCACAGCCACGGCUCAUCUACCUCUCCAUCAUCUGUGUUCCGGGCAUUUCUGCCAUCAUCGUGGCACAGUGGGGCCAUUUUGCCACCCCUAAGCACCAGCAGACAAGAGCAGGUAUAUUCCUGGGACUUGGCUUAAGUGUCGUGCCCACCAUGCACUUUACUAUCGCUGAGGGCUUCAUCAAGGCUACCACGGUGGGCCAGAUGGGCUGGUUCUUCCUCAUGGCUGUCAUGUACAUCACUGGAGCUGGCCUUCGUGCUGUUCGCAUUCCUGAGCGUUUCUUUCCUGGAAAAUUUGACAUUUGGUUCCAGUCUCACCAGAUUUUCCAAGUCCUAGUGUUGGCAGCAGCCGUCGUUCACUUUUACGGGGUCUCCACCCUUCAGGAAUUCCAUUCCGGCCUCGAAGGUGGCUGUACUGACGACUCCCUUCUCUGAGCCUUCCCACCUGAGGGUGGAGGAGGAACUUCCCAAGUGCUUUUAAAAAUAACUUCUUUGCAGAAGUGAGAGCAAGAAUCUGAGUUGUCUGUUUCUAGAAGAAACCUCUUAGAGAAUUCAGUAUCAACCAACCUUCAGCUCACCUUCACACCUACUGGACAUAAACUUCCACUUCCUUCCUGCCCGCUG